rnacentral:rRNA from 1 species
ACGGAAGGCAGCAGUGGGGAAUAUUGCACAAUGGGGGAAACCCUGAUGUAGCGACGCCGCGUGAGCGAAGAAGCAUUUCGGUAUGUAAAGCUCUACCAGCAGGGAAGAAAAUGACGGUACCUGACUAAGAAGCCCCGGCUAACUACGUGCCAGCAGCCGCGGUAAUACGUAGGGGGCAAGCGUUAUCCGGAUUUACUGGGUGUAAAGGGAGCGUAGACGGCGAUGCAAGUCUGAUGUGAAAGGCCGGGGCUCAACCCCGGGACUGCAUUGGAAACUGUAUUGCUGGAGUGCCGGAGAGGUAAGCGGAAUUCCUAGUGUAGCGGUGAAAUGCGUAGAUAUUAGGAGGAACACCAGUGGCGAAGGCGGCUUACUGGACGGUAACUGACGUUGAGGCUCGAAAGCGUGGGGAGCAAACAGGAUUAGAUACCCUGGUA